GAUGAACGCUGGAGAUAUGCUUAACACAUGCAAGUCGAACGCAGACUUUCGGGUCUAAAUAGCGAACGAGAGAGUAACGCGAACAACUCAGGCUACAGGUUGGGGACAACCACGGGAAACGGUGGCUAAUACCCAAUGUGCCGUUAAGGUGAAAGAUUAAUUGCCUGAAGAUGAGCUCGCGUCUGAUUAGCUAGUUGGUGGGGUAAGAGCUCACCAAGGCGACGAUCAGUAGCUGGUCUGAGAGGACGAUCAGCCACACUGGGACUGAGACACGGCCCAGACUCCUACGGGAGGCAGGUGUGGGGAAUUUUCCGCAAUGGGCGAAAGCCUGACGGAGCAAUACCGCGUGAGGGAGGAAGGCUCUUGGGUGUGAAACCUCUUUUCUCAGGGAAGAAGGCAAUGACGGUACCUGAGGAAUCAGCAUCGGCUAACUCCGUG
rnacentral:rRNA from 1 species